GACGAACGCUGGCGGCGUGCCUAAUACAUGCAAGUUGAGCGAUGAAGAUUGGUGCUUGCCCCAAUUUGAAGAGCAGCGAACGGGUGAGUAACGCGUGGGGAAUCUGCCUUUGAGCGGGGGACAACAUUUGGAAACGAAUGCUAAUACCGCAUAACAACUUUAAACAUAAGUUUUAAGUUUGAAAGAUGCAAUUGCAUCACUCAAAGAUGAUCCCGCGUUGUAUUAGCUAGUUGGUGAGGUAAAGGCUCACCAAGGCGAUGAUACAUAGCCGACCUGAGAGGGUGAUCGGCCACAUUGGGACUGAGACACGGCCCAAACUCCUACGGGAGGCAGCAGUAGGGAAUCUUCGGCAAUGGGCGAAAGUCUGACCGAGCAACGCCGCGUGAGUGAAGAAGGGUUUCGGAUCGUAAAACUCUGUUGGUAGAGAAGAACGUUGGUGAGAGUGGAAAGCUCAUCAAGUGACGGUAACUACCCAGAAAGGGACGGCUAACUACGUG
rnacentral:rRNA from 1 species